rnacentral:rRNA from 1 species
UGGGGAAUAUUGCACAAUGGGCGAAAGCCUGAUGCAGCGACGCCGCGUGAGCGAAGAAGUAUUUCGGUAUGUAAAGCUCUAUCAGCAGGGAAGAUAAUGACGGUACCUGACUAAGAAGCCCCGGCUAACUACGUGCCAGCAGCCGCGGUAAUACGUAGGGGGCAAGCGUUAUCCGGAUUUACUGGGUGUAAAGGGAGUGUAGGCGGCGAUGUAAGUCAGAAGUGAAAACCCAGGGCUCAACCCUGGGACUGCUUUUGAAACUACAUUGCUAGAGUGCAGGAGAGGUAAGUGGAAUUCCUAGUGUAGCGGUGAAAUGCGUAGAUAUUAGGAGGAACACCAGUGGCGAAGGCGGCUUACUGGACUGUAACUGACGCUGAGGCUCGAAAGCGUGGGGAGCAAACAGG